CUGUGAAGAGAAUACAGAAGGAGAGGCGGCAAGAAGCGAGAGAGGAAGGGAACGGAUCGUCAAAGAAUAGCGGCGCCGAUGCAGCACGAAGGGAUUUGCUCACUGCAACCUGCCUCUUGGUGGACUUGCUGCUUGCGACAUAGUGCUCUUCCCUAGGGAUGGCCAUCUCAGGUUUUGGCUUGGGGCUUAAUCUGGUGCCUGCGCUGGCAUCAUCCUAACAGAAGGUGCUAUAGUUUCUCUGAUCGGAUGAGAGGAGCAUGACAUCAUUGUAUCUUCUUUGGGUACCUAUUUUUGGGAUUUAUGUCAGGUUUCACAGGGUUGUGAAACUUCCUCCUAGCUUUUAAAUCCUGCGGCUCCUGCCAUAUGUUGCAGUGUGCUGGAUCUUGGAUUGAGCUUAAAUCUACUGGUAUAUGCUAUCUGCCACUUGUUGGUCACUCGUAGGUCUCACCUUGAGCUUAAAAAUCUAAUGUCCUGUCAUCAUCCUCUUCGGUAGGGCUGUCUUGGCUCCCAUAGAAGAUUUGACUAACUGAGGAUAACGACACUUUUGCUUCUUCUCAGGGUGCCUGUUUACUAGGAUUUUAGAUUAUAUUAUAUUUCACAUGGUUCUUGAUUCUUGUUA